rnacentral:rRNA from 1 species
UGGUUUGCACUGAGUGAACCGCAAGUAUGACAUUGUCGA